rnacentral:rRNA from 1 species
UUCGAUCCACGGCUCAGAUUGAACGCUGGCGGGAUGCUUUACACAUGCAAGUCGAACGGCAGCACGGACUUCGGUCUGGUGGCGAGUGGCGAACGGGUGAUGUGUAUCGGGAACGUUGCCCGUGCUUGCCGGUAACUACGCCAGCGGCUAAUACCUUCGCCCUUCGAGGAAAGCGGGGGACCUUCGGGCCUCGCACUAUUAGAGCGGCCGAUAUCGGAUUGCUGUAGCUAGUUGGUGGGGUAACGGCUCACCAAGGCGACGAUCCGUAGCUGGUUUUGAGAGGACGACCAGCCACACUGGGACUGAGACACGGCCCAGACUCCUACGGGAGGAGGCAGCGGUGGGGAAUUUUGGACAAUGGGGAAACCUGAUCAGCCAUCCCGCGUGUGCGAUGAAGGCCUUCGGGUUGUAAAGCACUUUUGGCAGGAAAGAAACGGCACGGGAUAAUACCCCGUGCAACUGACAGUACCUGCAGAAUAAGCACCGGCCUUCGGUAAGCCGCGGUAAUACGUAGGGUGCAAGCGUUAAUCGGAAUACUGGGCGUAAAGCGUGCGCAGGCGGUUCGGAAAGAAAGAUGUGAAAAUCCCGAAGAACGCUUUGGAACUGCAUUUUAACUACAGAGGCUAGAGUGUCAGAGGGAGGUGGAAUUCCGCGUGUAGCAGUGAAAUGCGUAGAUAUGCGGAGGAACACCGAUGGCGAAGGCAGCCUCUGGGAUAACACUGACGCUCAUGCACGAAAGCGUGGGAGCAAACAGGAUUAGAUACCCUGGUAGUCCACGCCUAAACGAUGUCAACUAGCUGUUGGGGCCUUCGGGCCUUGGUGGCGCAACGCGUGAAGUUGACCGCCUGGGGUACGGUCGCAAGGUUAAGCCAAAGGAAUUGACGGGGACCUGCACAAGCGGUGGAUGAUGUGGAUUAAUUCGAUGCAACGCGAAAAACCUUACCUACCCUUGACAUGUCUGGAAUCGAAGAGAUUUGGGAGUGCUCGCAAGAGAACCGGAACACAGGUGCUGCAUGGCUGUCGUCAGCUCGUGUCGUGAGAUGUUGGGUUAAGUCCCGCAACGAGCGCAACCCUUGUCAUUAGUUGCUACGAAAGGGCACUCUAAUGAGACUGCCGGUGACAAACCGGAGGAAGGUGGGGAUGACGUCAAGUCCUCAUGGCCCUUAUGGGUAGGGCUUGCGUCAUACAAUGGUCGGGACAGAGGUCGCCAGCCCGCGAGAGCCGAUCCAAAACCCGAUCGUAGUCGGGAUCGCAGUCUGCAACUCGACUGCGUGAAGUCAGAAUCAUAGUAAUCGCCGGAUCAGCAUGUCGCGGUGGUCACAUUCCGGACUCUUCCACCGCCCGUCACCAUGGGAGUGGGUUUGCAAAAGUAGUUAGCCUAACCUACCGUAAGGAGGGCGAUUACCACGGUAGGAUUCAUGACUGGGGUGAAGUCGUAACAAGGUAA